UACGUAGGGUGCGAGCGUUAAUCGGAAUUACUGGGCGUAAAGCGUGCGCAGGCGGUUCGUUGUGUCCGUCGUGAAAGCCCCGGGCUUAACCUGGGAACUGCGAUGGAAACUAGCGAGCUGGAGUGUGGCAGAGGGGGGGUGGAAUUCCGCGUGUAGCAGUGAAAUGCGUAGAGAUGCGGAGGAACACCGAUGGCGAAGGCAGCCCCCUGGGCUAACACUGACGCUCAGGCACGAAAGCGUGGGGAGCAAACAGG
rnacentral:rRNA from 1 species